AGUGAACGCUGGCGGUAGGCCUAACACAUGCAAGUCGAACGGCAGCACAGUAAGAGCUUGCUCUUACGGGUGGCGAGUGGCGGACGGGUGAGUAAUACAUCUGAAUCUACUUUUUCGUGGGGGAUUACGUAGUGAAACUUACGCUAAUACCGCAUACGACCUACGGUUGAAAGCAGGGGAUCUUCGGACCUUGCUCGAUUGAAUGAUCCGAUGUCGGAUUAGCUAGUUGGUGGGGUAAAGGCCCACCACGGCGACGAUCCGUAGCUGGUCUGAGAGGAUGAUCAGCCACACUGGAACUGAGACACGGUCCAGACUCCUACGGGAGGCAGCAGUGGGGAAUAUUGGACAAUGGGCGCAAGCCUGAUCCAGCCAUACCGAGUGGGUGAAGAAGGCCUUCGGGUUGUAAAGCCCUUUUGUUGGGAAAGAAAAGCAGAAGGUUAAUACCCCGCUGUUAUGACGGUACCCAAAGAAUAAGCAACGGCUAAAUUCGUG
rnacentral:rRNA from 1 species